AUGGAUUGUUGGUGACCAGUUGUCUCCAAUGCAUUUGAGAGUGAGGAACAUGUUUCUGACAAGGGAAGGGGAAAAAACAGUGAUGAGAAUAAUCCCAUAUUGGGAAUUGCUACAACAUUACCAAAUAAAGAAUUGAAAGAAAAUAAACUUUAAAAGAUCUAAUAAUUGCCUUCGCCCCCAAAUGAUAGAAAAAAAAAUAGGCCGUUGGAUGGAGAUCCGAUGAUCCAGAUACAUUUAAUCUUGUAACAACCCUAAUUACUAGUCCACCUCAAUUGUUUUUUGUUGCCACCACCAUCGAUCCCCUACCUCGCCGCCGCCAGCAGCAACAAGUCCGUUCUUCCCCGGGCACCUCCCUCUCUUACUAUCGAACACCUUCUUCUACUUCUCUCUGAACAUCCUCUCCAACAACGUUGUUUUACCUUUUCUCUUGUUGUAUUGCCUUUAGAUCAACCGCUGUCGUAGCAUCAAUCACCUCGUAAUCACAAAGACUUCCUCCGCCUCCUCCCUGUUUCUCCCCUCACUCACCCACAACCUCAUCUUGUAGAGCCUUACUCUAGCCAACUUCGCCACCUCCACCACCGUAUAGCGAGAAAGCCAU
rnacentral:lncRNA from 1 species